rnacentral:rRNA from 1 species
UACGUAGGGUGCAAGCGUUGUCCGGAAUUAUUGGGCGUAAAGAGCUCGUAGGCGGUCCGUCACGUCGGGAGUGAAAACUCGGGGCUCAACCCCGAGCCUGCUUUCGAUACGGGCGGGCUAGAGGUAGGUAGGGGAGAGCGGAAUUCCUGGUGUAGCGGUGGAAUGCGCAGAUAUCAGGAGGAACACCGGUGGCGAAGGCGGUUCUCUGGGCCUUACCUGACGCUGAGGAGCGAAAGCGUGGGGAGCGAACAGG